UAGAGUUUGAUCCUGGCUCAGAUUGAACGCUGGCGGCAGGCCUAACACAUGCAAGUCGAGCGGUAACAUUUCUAGCUUGCUAGAAGAUGACGAGCGGCGGACGGGUGAGUAAUGCUUGGGAACAUGCCUUGAGGUGGGGGACAACCAUUGGAAACGAUGGCUAAUACCGCAUAAUGUCUACGGACCAAAGGGGGCUUCGGCUCUCGCCUUUAGAUUGGCCCAAGUGGGAUUAGCUAGUUGGUGAGGUAACGGCUCACCAAGGCGACGAUCCCUAGCUGGUUUGAGAGGAUGAUCAGCCACACUGGAACUGAGACACGGUCCAGACUCCUACGGGAGGCAGCAGUGGGGAAUAUUGCACAAUGGGCGCAAGCCUGAUGCAGCCAUGCCGCGUGUGUGAAGAAGGCCUUCGGGUUGUAAAGCACUUUCAGUCAGGAGGAAAGGUUAGUAGUUAAUAC
rnacentral:rRNA from 1 species